rnacentral:rRNA from 1 species
CAGUAGCCGCGGGAAUACGUAGGGUGCAAGCGUUAAUCGGAAUUACUGGGCGUAAAGCGUGCGCAGGCGGUUUGUUAAGACAGAUGUGAAAUCCCCGGGCUCAACCUGGGAACUGCAUUUGUGACUGGCAGGCUAGAGUAUGGCAGAGGGGGGUGGAAUUCCGCGUGUAGCAGUGAAAUGCGUAGAUAUGCGGAGGAACACCGAUGGCGAAGGCAGCCCCCUGGGCCAAUACUGACGCUCAUGCACGAAAGCGUGGGGAGCAAACAGGAUUAGAUACCCGCGUAGUCCCUGUCUCUUAUAC